UGGGAAGUUCCACCUGCUCUGCCUGGGCGCAGCCCCUUCUGGGAAGUGAGCCUUUCUGGGCUCACUGGGAGCCACUCUGGAUCCAUUCUUUUUUGGGAGCCAGGCCACUCUGGACUUCUUGACAAGUACAGGUUCCUUUUAAAUCAUACUACUGAGCUGGAGCAACUUGACUGCCUUGCUCUGGAGAUGCCGUUAUCAGGAGUUGCCUCUGCCCAACCUUAUGCAGAUCAGCUGGUGGGCUGCAUAGCUGGGAACUUUUUCUAUCUGGGGGUCGUACAAACAGAGGAGUAAAGACUGCAAGGCUCUUUGGAACAUGCUUUAAUGGAAAUCAUCAUCUCUUUAGUCAUUCCAAGGAAUCCACUUCGAUGUGGUUGAGAAGCAUUGGGAAGGACCAGACUGGAAAAGUCAUUGUAAUGAAAGAGAAUCAAGUGAAUGAAGAUCAAGUGAAUGAUUCCUAAGUAGAGAAAGGAGGAACUCCAUGUGAUCUUACAUUCAGAAUGAAGACUGCCUUAUUCACUAUCCUAUGUCAUCCUGGAUUCUUCAGGUACCAAAAUGGACUUUGGAGUUUUUAUAGUCAGGGUUCUCCAGAAAAACAGAACCAGCAGGGGAGACAUAUGAGGACUUAUUAUACGAAUCGGCUCCCAUAAUCAUGGAGGCGAAGUCCCCUGAUUUGCCAUCUAGAGAAUUAGGAAAGCUGGGGGUGUAAUUCAGAGUCGAUGACCAGGGGAGUCACUGACGUAAAUCUGAGUCCCAAGACGCGAGUGCCAAGAGCACAGAUGUCUGAGGGCAGAAGAUAGAUGCCUCAGCUUAAAGCGAAUUUGCCUUUCUUCCACCUUUCAGUUCUAUUCAGAUCCUCAGUGGAUUAAAUGAUCCCACCUACCUUGGUGAGGGUGAUCAUCUUAACUCAGUCUGCUGAGUCAGAUGCUAGUCUUGUUCCAGAGAAACGCUCACAGACACACUCAUAAACAAUAAUUUACGAGCAUCCGGCCAUUCCUUAGCCCAGUCAAGUUGACAUGUAUAAUUAACCACCAGUUUUCAAUACAGCCUGCAGAUGUCCUGCUCAGAUGGGCAGUGGCGCAGCGCAUGAUUGAGAGAAACAUCUGAGAGCAACUCCUGGAGUGGUCCCAGUUCAGCAUCAUAUUAGAACUGGAACCCAUAAAUUACUUUUUUCAUACAUUACUUUUAGAACCAGAAAAAUACUACUUUUAUAGCCAGAAAAAAAUUAUAAAGUUAUUUUCAUUUUUAAAAAAAAUGUUUUUCCUUUUUACUGUUUUUUGUAAACUAUAGCAAAGUACAAAGAAAACAAAUCACCCAAAUGUCACUAUCCAGAGAAAAGCAACUGACAUUUUAUAGCAACUUAUAAGUCCUUUCAAUGCAUAUCACAUUGGUUCUCAAACUUUAGUGUGCAUCAAAAUUAGUUAAAGCAAAUGCUUUCAAGUCAGUAGUUCUGGGGGUGGGCCCGAUAAUUAGGAUUUCCAACCACCUCUCCAGUCAUGCUGCCACUGCCAGUCCAGGGACCACACAAUGAGAAGCACUGCCAUGUAAUUUAUACCUUUGCUAUGUAAGUAGGGCCUCCAACCAGCAGCACUGACAUCACUUGGGAGUUUGUUGGUAAGGCCAACUUCGGCCCCACUCCAGACUUACUGAAUCAGAAUCUGCAGUUUAACAAGAUCCCUAAGGGAUUUUUGUAAGCACGAGUUUGAGAAGCACUGGUUUAUCUUUGAGCCUCAUACUGUCCAAAAGAUAGCUUUUCCUCCCUCCCUACUUUAUUUGGUAUAAUUUACAUAUAAUGCAACACUUUGUAACAAUUAAAUGAGCUUUGGUAAGUUUUGAGAGUUUUAUAUCUCUUCCCUACCUCUCCUCAACAGAAUGAGGGCUUUCCUGUGAUAUUAAAUAUCUUGGGAAAAUAUGACUUAAUUGGCUGCAUAAUACAUGGCAAGGAUGUACCAGUUUGACCAAUUUUUCUAUUUUCUAGCAUAUUUCUCUAGGACACCUGUGCUGUUCCCAGCUUUUCACCAGUGUAAAUAAUGCUUCAAUGAACACUUUUGAACACAAAUUUUUCGACUUCAGAAUAAUUUUCCAAAGUGGAAUUACUGAGGAAAGGAAUAAUAGGCAACGGGCAGGCAAGAACAGAUGUCAAUUACUUUAGAAGAAAAAGUUAAUGAAUUAAAAACUUUUAACUUUUUUUAUGUGUUUGGGUUUCAGGAAAAAUGGAAAGAAAUCACUUAAAUUCCAUUGCAGCAGGAACAGAGGAGUAAUGUAUCUUAAACAAAAUGGCUUAGUAAACUU